GGCGCAGACUCGAGGCAAUCGGGGUCGGUCGGCUCGCCAGUUACUUUUCGCGAUCCACCGUGGCCGCUCUGCCGCGGCGCAGGUACACACAGGUCGGACGGUCAGUCUCACCACGGAGUUCGUCAGUCCGACGACGGAUAGGGAAAGGGGAGAACGUAGUGUUCGCGCGAGAUCUCUCGUAUCUAACCACCACGCUUCUCUCUCGAGAUUUUGUUUCGCAUUUCGACUCGAAUGCCCCGCAUAGAAGAACCUCGACGCAACCUCAGGCAACGUGCGAACGUAAAGGAAAUCGAGCAACGGUCGUGUUUACGUAGGGGACAGGUUUUGUCGCUGUUCGAGAAAGUGAAACGAGAACGAAACUUUCUCGUUGCGUGUGAAGGGUAAAAGGAUUGAAAAGUCCCGGGGCAAACUGAUCGGCGGCUAAGCGUGUUUCGACGAGAAAAAGUGCAGUGAAAUGAGAACUGUUUGUCCGGUUUUCUGAAUCGGUUAAUAUCUUCUUAACAACGAAACGACGCGACGGUAGAAAGCGUACGCGCCGUCACAUUCCCGUAGGAUUA
rnacentral:misc_RNA from 1 species